GCUACUCGGGUUCCUCCCGAUGUUGAUGCCUCCUUGAUGGCUCAAGUCCAGAUGUUUUAGGCUACAGUGCACUAUGCAGUGCACUAUGCAGAUUGGAUGACCACACACAUUCAUGUUUGGCAUAAAUAUGACUGGCAAUCCCCACGGAACAUGGGGACCCACCAGUUUGCCUAAGGAGGGGUGAACUGGCCCAGGUCAGAAAUGGAGCAGGUCAAAACUCUCGAGUUAAUCAGUAGUGGGUGAUACCCGUGAAAAGCCACUGUACUCCAGCCCAGGCAACACAGGGAUUUUU
rnacentral:SRP_RNA from 1 species